GCCCCGCCCCCCGCGCGGUGGAGGCCGCACCGGCUCACGUCGCCGCUGCGUGCAGAGUUGCAGGGCCAUCUACGGGAAAGAGCCUUGGCCUGGGAGCCUGGAAACGCGCCUUCCAAUCAAUGGCCUCUGAGCCCUUGAUUCCUAAACUCUGACUCCUGAGCCAGCGACAUGUGGAAGCUGCAAGGGUGAAGCCCAUGGGGAAGAGAGUCAGCAUGGAGGGACUGGUGGCACAGCAGGGGCAGGAGGCAAGACAGCGAUGCCUUGUCCACUGAUUCCCACUCUACAGGGGAACGAAGGUACUUCCCAACAUGCAGCCAACUCUGUGAGUCACCCUAGGCUGGCUGUGGUGAAACUGGAUGCUGGGAUCACCAGUGUCUGUGAAAUGGGUGUAAAGCCAUAGAACUCACCAGCUAGGCUACGGUUUAAUUCCUCAGUGCCCUCGCCUGUGGAGUACAGCCAGAUCCUCACUGUCCACUCUCGAGAAGGAGCCUUGCUGUGGGAGAGCGGGUUUCACCUCACUAGGAAUUUGUAUAUGUACAAACCAGAGCCUGAAAAGAGGAACUGUUUGUACUCAAACACACUGUGGUCAGAGGAAAAUUUUGUCAUCAUUGUUGUGACAGAGCAACAACUAAAUUUAGCAAGCUGUGUAUUUGAGUGUGCGCAUGUGUGCAUGUGUGUGAUGCUUGGAGAAAACAACACAUUAUGUUUCCAAAAAGCAAAAACUCCCUAGACCAAAAAAGAAGCCCUCUUCUAACUUGGCAUUUGAUUACCAUGGUGUCCCUUACUCCACUUACUUGAGAUGUCUGCUUUGUCUGUGUCCUUUGUAGCAUGACAUUCUUUCAAGAUAGACUGUGUCACUAGAGGAACAUUGGCAUUUGCUGGAGUUUGGGUGUUUUUUUGUUCUCUGGUGAUUUCCACUCUGGGAUUGACAUAAACAGAGGUGUUGAACUUCCGUAUUUUGAAUGGGCCUCCCUCGAAUAUGGGAGUCUAAUCUUUGAUGGCAAUUAAGUAUAUACGUUUAUUCUUCACAAUAAAUUUUAAAUUUUAACACGAAAGUGAAAUUCCAACUUACGACAUUGACAAAAUGCAAUACAUUCCUGGCUGUUAGCAUAUACACUAACAAAAGUCCUCUCUGUGAUUCCGAAGUUCCAAAAAACAAACUAUAUAUACUGCAUUGUAUCUGUCUUCAUCAAAGAAAAUGCUAGUGCCAGCAUGGAAACCAGAGCAAUUUAGUUUCUUGCAAUCCACAGAAAAGAGGGAGUAGAAGGUGAAAUAAAUAUAUGCUGGAGACAGGGGUGCAGAGUGAAACACAUCUACGAGGACGCAAGAGUUUUAGGAAACAGUGGGAAAAGGAAUUGAGACCAGAGGAAGAGAGAGAGAGAGGUGUGUGAGAUAUGGAAGAGAGGGACUUCCAAUUUUAGUAAUCAGACAAAUAUUUGAUUCGAAGUUAUUCUGAAGGGUUUUACCUCCCCUAGUAUGCUCUAGACCAGUGCUCUCAAAUUUUAUCUCAGGCUCCCCCUUUUUUUUCUCUUUCUUCUUGUCGUCUGUGGAGCCCCUGAGGUCUGCUGGAGUUUACGAUAUCCACUCCCUCCCUCUGGAGUCCUGUAGAGUCUCCUGGCCAGCUGGAGCUUUGUCGCAUGUCAGAAUUCAGACGUUACUUUUACUGAAGCAUAAGUCCUCACUGUGCGAUGGGCUGCCCCCAGCUCCUCCCUUAGGAAGUCAGGGCCCCUUUUAAACUCUUAAAAAUUAUUGGGGACUCCAAUCAUACUUUCUCUCCCUCUCUCCCCCAAGUAUUCAUCCCAAGGGCCCUCCUUACUGAUCAGCCUGCCCUCUAUAGUCUGUCUCAGAGUUUGCUUCCUGGGCAACCUAACUGGUUACAAGUGUCUAGCACAGUACCUACUAUAUGUAUGCUUAAGCUUUUGAAGAAAUUAGUUUCCUCAGUUACAGGUAUACUGGACUUUAAACAAACUAAAUUUAAUAACUUCUAGACACCUGUGGAGAUUUUUCAUUUUGUAAAGAGAUUCUUUGAAUCUCUUAAGGUAUUUUUCACAUAAUAGGAUGCAUUAAAAAUAAGGUAUAAUUACUAGGGAAAUGCACAUCAAAAGCACAAUGAGAUACGCCUUCACGCUCAUUAGGAUGGGUACCAAAAAAAAAAGAAAGAAAGAAAUUUUGGUAAGGAUGGUGAGGAUGUAGAGAAGUUGGAGCACUUACUCAUUGCUGGUAGGAAUGUAAGAUGGUGCCAUCGCUGUAGAAAACACUUUGGACAAGUUCCUCAAAGACUUAAGCAUAGAAUUAUGAUACGAUCCAGCAAUUCUGCUUCUAGGUAUAUAUCCAAAAGAAUGAAAGCAGUGACUUGAACAGAUUUUUGCACAUUCACAUUCACAACAUUUUUCACAAUAGCUAAAACACUGACACACCCAAGCAUGGCUUGAGAGGUGAAUGGAUACAGCAAAAGGUGGUAUGCUGUAUACAUGCAAUGGAAGAUUACUCACUGUCAAGGUAGAAGGAGAUUAUGAGACAUGCUACAUUAUAUAACAGUGGUGAACACGGAAGACAUUAUGCUAAGUGAAAUAAGCCAGUAGCAAAGGGACAAAUAUUCCUCUUCUAUGAGGUAGUUAGAAUAGUCAGAUUCAUAGAGAUUGAAAGUAGAAUGGUUGUUGCCAGAGGCUGGGAUAGAGGGUAAUAAGGAGUUAUUGCUUUAGGCAUACAGAGUUUCAGUUUAGGAUGAUGAAAAAGUUCUGGAGAUGGUUGGUGGUGAGGGUUGCACAACAAUGUGAAUGUACUUAAAGCUGCUGGAAUUGUACACUUAAAAAUGAUUAACAUGGAACAUUUUGAGUUGUGUAUGGUAUUUUACUACGAUAAAAAAAUUAAAAUUU